UUCUGUUUCUUUUUGUUGGUCAUCUCGACCACUUUUGUGUAUAAGUUCUAGGGGGCUGCGCAGCGAAUGGCCCAACCUGCCAAAUCCAUCCAACCCGACCCGACGUGACGUGUUUUGGGUGGAUGCGUGACAGGUGGCGGACGAAUGCGAGCCUAAAAUUUUUAGUUUUGCGGAUUCGGGUCGGGUGGCGGAUUAUCCUCCACUUUUAUUCUUGUACCCGACCUGCCCGACAGCCAUAUUUUCCGCCUUCCCCCUUUGUCUUGCCCUCAUUUUUCAUUUCACGUUUUUGUUGCCCUAGGUUCUUCAUUUGACUCUCUCUUUCUCUCUCUCUCUCUCUUACUUGAACACUGGCGAGCGACGUUCGGAGAUUGGCGACAGUGACGGCAAGUGACAAUCAACGAUAGUAGCAGUGAGCAACGAUCGGAGCCUCGAUUGGAAAGAAAAUGUUCAAGAAAUGAAGAUUCGUGCCAGUUCUUCUCUGAGAAAGAACCACCAUCGUGAUACCCUCUUUGACUUCAGAUUUUGCUUUGAAAAUUCCAACGGAGCUUGAAGCAGCUUCACAGCUGAGGAUUGCACAGUUCUUUGUAACACAAAUGCCAUGGCUUGAUCUUUAUGGAGUUCAUGUAAGACCAGUCCCUUCUUUUUGGAGUGCAAGUAGUAAACAUUUGUUGAUCCAGCACUUAUACAUCAGUUCUUGCCGGAUGAGCUGCUUUCGGAGAUGGCGAAUGCGGUGAGAAAUCACUAUGCAACGUCUCAACUGCAUUUCCAGCUAUUGAGUCUAGUUCCAUAUCAACUCCAGCGUGCAACUAAUCAAAGGAAUCGGCUUUCUUGAAGGUUUUAUGGUUAUUGAUAUAUACUUUCAGGCUCUAUGGUUUUUGAAAUAUGCUUAUUGACAGUUUACUCUAAAUCAGUGUCUUUUGAAAGUACACACUAAAAAUAUUGAACAAUGUUUUGAAUUUUCUUCUGAUACACUUUAUUCUGUAGGAUUUUUAA